UUUUUUUUUAAGAAACAGAAUCGUUUCUCAGCAUAUUUUAUCUUUUACCUUAAGUGACUUUUUCUGAUAUGUAGCAGGUCUUAGGAAGAAAAGCAUCUAAAUAUCAGUUGUCCUUGUGACUUGGGGUUUCAGGUGCAGGUUGGACGUGUGUCCUCAGGAGCCCCUUCCUGCAGAGUUCUGGGGAGUUGUCCCUGGCUCAUUCUGAAGCCUACCUAAGUUUGGUGUAGUCCUCACUAUUUAAAAUAUAUUACUGGAUAAGCAGUUUCUCAGUUGUUCUUAUCCCAUUUUUAGCUCUCUUUCUGCUUCUGUGUUUGGUGGGUUGCUUUCCUCAAUGAAGUGGUUUUUGAUCUACAACAGUCAAUAAGCUGAACAAAUCAAAGAAUGAUUUUCCUUCCCUCUUGUGAUUGCUCCCCAGUAUCCCUUCUCCCUUCUUCCUUUUAGUGCUAGCUAGGCAUAGGGCCUCCUAGCUAGAGACUGUAUUUCCCAGCCUCCGUGGCAACUAUGGUGGCUGUUCUAUAAAAAAAAUCAGAGAAAGAAAAUCUUUUCUUUAAAAUAGAGACCCUCUGGGAAUGUUUUCUUUGGCCUCAGGAAGCUUCUACCACAAUUCCCGCCCGUAACCCUUCCUCCCCUCACCAGUGCACACACAUACGCUCUCUUGGAAGCCUCUCUCCUGGAUAUUUACACUGAGUUACUGUUCCACACUGGAAAUACACCUCUCUGGACUUGAUUUGCUCACUCUCAUCUUAUCCUUUUGGUUUUCAGCGCUAUGAUUAACCUUGAAUG
rnacentral:lncRNA from 10 species